AGUGAACGCUGGCGGUAGGCCUAACACAUGCAAGUCGAACGGCAGCACAGUAAGAGCUUGCUCUUACGGGUGGCGAGUGGCGGACGGGUGAGGAAUACAUCGGAAUCUACUUUUUCGUGGGGGAUAACGUAGGGAAACUUACGCUAAUACCGCAUACGACCUACGGGUGAAAGCAGGGGAUCUUCGGACCUUGCGCGAUUGAAUGAGCCGAUGUCGGAUUAGCUAGUUGGCGGGGUAAAGGCCCACCAAGGCGACGAUCCGUAGCUGGUCUGAGAGGAUGAUCAGCCACACUGGAACUGAGACAAGGUCCAGACUCCUAAGGGAGGCAGCAGUGGGGAAUAUUGGACAAAGGGCGCAAGCCUGAUCCAGCCAUACCGCGUGGGUGAAGAAGGCCUUCGGGUUGUAAAGCCCUUUUGUUGGGAAAGAAAAGCAGCAGGUUAAUACCCCGCUGCUCUGACGGUACCCAAAGAAUAAGCACCGGCUAACUUCGUG
rnacentral:rRNA from 1 species